rnacentral:lncRNA from 1 species
UUAUUUAUCUCAUAUGUACUCCAAUAAAUUCAUAUAAUUUCAUAAAUCAUUUUUAGGAUUGUAAUUCAUAAAUCAUAUUGUAAUAUCUCAUUAUUGGAUAUCUUUUGGUUGAGACGACUAUAUCCCUAUAUGGAAUUAAGUCUAUUAAUUAGAAAGAAUGUGGAUAAUUAAGAAAAAAAGCAUUGAUAGAUAGUCAAACUCAACGAUUUGGAUCGAUCCAAUCAUCUAAUUUUAUCCGUUCAAAAUCAUAUUAGGAUAUAGAUUGUUCAAUGGAGAUCGAGAGUGAUCAAAUCAAUAGUAUUUGAUAAGAGUCAAGAUAGAAGCCAAUAUGGUACUUGACGAUUAGAGAUUAGUUUAAUCAAAUAAUUUUAUUUAAUCAAGAUCAGAUUAAAAUAUAAUUGGUUCCAUAGAGAUCAACUAGAUUAAGUCUGAUGGUAUUCGGAUCAAGCCAAGAUUAGUGCAGGCAUGCUGUCCAACGAUUGUGGAUUAAGAUUCUUCACUAAGCUCAAUCAAAAUUGUCGAAAGAAAGUCCUUUAUUUGAUCAAUUUUAGAUUGAGAAAUAAUUCUAGAGAGCGAAAGUUGUAUAGAGGGUGAAAUUUUUUAGAGAAAAUAGAGAAAAACUGGAG